rnacentral:rRNA from 1 species
GACGAACGCUGGCGGCGUGCUUAACACAUGCAAGUCGAACGGAAAGGCCCUGCUUUUGUGGGGUGCUCGAGUGGCGAACGGGUGAGUAACACGUGAGUAACCUGCCCUUGACUUUGGGAUAACUUCAGGAAACUGGGGCUAAUACCGGAUAGGAGCUCCUGCUGCAUGGUGGGGGUUGGAAAGUUUCGGCGGUUGGGGAUGGACUCGCGGCUUAUCAGCUUGUUGGUGGGGUAGUGGCUUACCAAGGCUUUGACGGGUAGCCGGCCUGAGAGGGUGACCGGCCACAUUGGGACUGAGAUACGGCCCAGACUCCUACGGGAGGCAGCAGUGGGGAAUAUGGCACAAUGGGCGGAAGCCUGAUGCAGCAACGCCGCGUGCGGGAUGACGGCCUUCGGGUGGGAAACCGCUUUCGCCUGUGGCGAAGCGUGAGUGACGGGAAUGGGUAAAGAAGCACCGGCGAACUACGU